rnacentral:misc_RNA from 1 species
UUGAAGCCAACCUGUUCUUGAACCCUUAAUCUUCACUGCAGUUACAUCACCAGCUCCUGCAACAUUGCUGAUCAGCACCGAAAUGAAGAUGCCUGAUCCUGAGACAGUAAAACGAAUUCCCCCUUCCUUUCUGCAUUUUAUCCUGUUCAACAAAUUUAAGGGAAAGAGAAUCAUUUCAGCAGAUCAAGGCUUCCAAGGCCAUAGGCCUUGCAUUCAAAUCAAUAAGAAACAAUUCCCUCCCAAAUGUAUAGGUGCAUGCAUCAUACCAACAUGAACAGGGCUGUGCAGUUUUCGGUGUGAACCGAAAAACCGAACCGAACCUAGCCAUUUCAAUUCAAUCGGUUUGGUUUUUUAGGUCUAUCGGUUCGAUUCGAUUCGGUUCGGUUUGAAAAUUUUAAUAUGUUCAGUUUUUUGUUCGGUUCGGUUUUUUAUCCGGUUAAAACCAAUUAAACCGAAUAGUAAAAUGGCCCAAAUAAUUUUUCAGGCCAAGAUGCAAAAGCCUCAAGGCCCAAGAUGCAUAACCCAGCCUAAAGAAUAAAAAUUCUUAUAUUUUUGGUUUAAUGCAACGGAACCGAACCGAUAUUUUUCGGUUUGGUUCGGUUCGGUUAUCCUUCGAUGAUCGAUUUGGUUCGGUUUAUAUUUUUAAGCGAUUCGGUAAACUGACCGAAUGCUCUCCCCUAAAUAUGAAUCUCUAAGAAAAUCUCUAGAUCCACAAACUUAAACAUCUCCAGUUCUCCACUUUGAGUGGAAAAGGUAGCAUAGAAUUAACUUCACUCUUUGCUACGUUACUCAAAUGUAAAUUAUAGGUCAAUUUUAGCAAAUGAUAUGGCCAUUUCAUGAAAUGGAAUGUUAAUAAGUUGUAAAGAAAUAAUGCAAAGUAAUAAAAGGCAGUUUUUUUAUGUAGAAGUGUGUUGUUUGUGAACUGUUUUGUCCCAUUUCCUAAGCAAGAAGAUUUGAAACAGCAAGGACAAGAAACAAGUUAUAAUAGAAUUGUCAAUAAUCAAAUGUCAUGUUUAAUAGAUACCUUGGAGAUGAAUCAGUAAAAAUCAAUAUGGUCCAAGGUGAAGGGGAAAUCAAAAGAAAACAUGAAUAUCAGGACUCAAGUACUCACAUUUCAGAGUCAAAUAUGGCCUUGAAAUUCAUGUAACCCCCAAAAACAGGAGACGCAUAGAAGAGCUGAAUUAUUGUUCACUCCAACCUUUUUCUUUGCAUCUUUCUUUUUUUUUUAAAAAAAAUAAUUUGAGGCAUAAAAGUGCCAAUUAGGAACCCAUUUGUCCCUAAUUUCCCACCUUAUCCUCAUUAUCUACCUCCAAAACGGGUUGCCAAUUUAUAAAGUAAACCAAUCAUUGGCCAUAUUCGAUAUUCGUCCACUAAAAUUAAAA